rnacentral:tRNA from 1 species
UGGCUCAGAUGGUAAAGCGUCUGUCUGCAAUGCAGGAGACCCGGGUUCAAUCCCUGG